rnacentral:misc_RNA from 1 species
GUAAAUAAUUAGGUUUGUUUUCAGAAGUGUACUGUACUGCAUGAGGGUUUAGGGGGUCCCUGGCGGCAGCGGACUGCCGAGGGAACAACAAAGGUGCACAUAGUCAAGGUAAUAGGCACGAGCGGCACGCCGACAAGCAGCGGCCUAGGCCAGGUAAUGAUCCUUCCGCAGGUUCACCUACGGAAA